CUACGGGAGGCAGCAGUGAGGAAUAUUGGUCAAUGGACGCAAGUCUGAGCCAGCCACGUCGCGUGAAGGAAGACGGCCCUACGGGUUGUAAACUUCUUUUGUAAGGGAAUAAAGUGAUUCACGUGUGUUUCAUUGCAUGUACCUUACGAAUAAGGAUCGGCUAACUCCGUGCCAGCAGCCGCGGUAAUA
rnacentral:rRNA from 1 species